GAUGAACGCUGGCGGCGUGCCUAAUACAUGCAAGUCGAGCGAACGGACGAGAAGCUUGCUCUUCUGACGUUAGCGGCGGACGGGUGAGUAACACGUGGAUAACCUACCUAUAAGACUGGGAUAACUUCGGGAAACCGGAGCUAAUACCGGAUAAUAUUUUGAACCGCAUGGUUCAAAAGUGAAAGACGGUUUUGCUGUCACUUAUAGAUGGAUCCUCGCUGCAUUAGCUAGUUGGUAAGGUAACGGCUUACCAAGGCAACGAUGCGUAGCCGACCUGAGAGGGUGAUCGGCCACACUGGAACUGAGACACGGUCCAGACUCCUACGGGAGGCAGCAGUAGGGAAUCUUCCGCAAUGGGCGAAAGCCUGACGGAGCAACGCCGCGUGAGUGAUGAAGGUCUUCGGAUCGUAAAACUCUGUUAUUAGGGAAGAACAAAUGUGUAAGUAACUAUGCACGUCUUGACGGUACCUAAUCAGAAAGCCACGGCUAACUACGUG
rnacentral:rRNA from 1 species